GAGAAAGCUUGCUUUCUUGCUGACGAGUGGCGGACGGGUGAGUAAUGCUUGGGAAUCUGGCUUAUGGAGGGGGAUAACGACGGGAAACUGUCGCUAAUACCGCGUAGUGUCGAGAGACGAAAGUGCGGGACUGAGAGGCCGCAUGCCAUAGGAUGAGCCCAAGUGGGAUUAGGUAGUUGGUGGGGUAAAGGCCUACCAAGCCUGCGAUCUCUAGCUGGUCUGAGAGGAUGACCAGCCACACUGGAACUGAGACACGGUCCAGACUCCUACGGGAGGCAGCAGUGGGGAAUAUUGCGCAAUGGGGGGAACCCUGACGCAGCCAUGCCGCGUGAAUGAAGAAGGCCUUCGGGUUGUAAAGUUCUUUCGGUAUUGAGGAAGGUUGAUGUGUUAAUAGCACAUCAAAUUGACGUUAAAUACAGAAGAAGCACCGGCUAACUCCGUGCCAGCAGCCGCGGUAAUACGGAGGGUGCGAGCGUUAAUCGGAAUAACUGGGCGUAAAGGGCACGCAGGCGGUUAUUUAAGUGAGGUGUGAAAGCCCUGGGCUUAACCUAGGAAUUGCAUUUCAGACUGGGUAACUAGAGUACUUUAGGGAGGGGUAGAAUUCCACGUGUAGCGGUGAAAUGCGUAGAGAUGUGGAGGAAUACCGAAGGCGAAGGCAGCCCCUUGGGAAUGUACUGACGCUCAUGUGCGAAAGCGUGGGGAGCAAACAGGAUUAGAUACCCUGGUAGUCCACGCUGUAAACGCUGUCGAUUUGGGGGUUGGGGUUUAACUCUGGCGCCCGUAGC
rnacentral:rRNA from 1 species